GAUGAACGCUAGCGGCGGGCUUAAUACAUGCAAGUCGAGGGGUAGCAAUACACCGGCGUACGGGUGCGUAACGCGUAUGCAACCUACCUUUAUCUGGGGGAUAGCCCGGGGAAACCCGGAUUAAUACCGCAUAAGAAAGUGAUAUGGCAUCAUAUAGCUUUUAAAGAUUUAUUGGAUAAAGAUGGGCAUGCGUAGGAUUAGAUAGUUGGUAAGGUAACGGCUUACCAAGUCUGCGAUCCUUAGGGGGCUCUGAGAGGAGAAUCCCCCCACACUGGCACUGAGAUACGGGCCAGACUCC
rnacentral:rRNA from 1 species